CUCUAGCCCCGAUAGCAGUGGAAAUCCUUUUUAUUUUUUCUUUAAAAAUAAAAAGAUUGCAACGAAUAGCGGGAAAUAGC
rnacentral:sRNA from 1 species